rnacentral:rRNA from 1 species
UACAGAGGGUGCAAGCGUUAAUCGGAAUUACUGGGCGUAAAGCGUGCGUAGUCGGUUAUCUAAGUCGGGGUGUGAAAUCCCCGGGCUCAACCUGGGAAUUGCAUUCGAUACUGGAUAGCUAGAGUUCGGCAGAGGGAAGCGGAAUUUCCGGUGUAGCGGUGAAAUGCGUAGAUAUCGGAAGGAACAUCAGUGGCGAAAGCGCUCCUGGACCAGAACUGACGAUCAGGCACGAAAGCGUGGGGAGCCGAACAGG